rnacentral:rRNA from 1 species
UACGUAGGGUGCGAGCGUUGUCCGGAUUUAUUGGGCGUAAAGGGUGCGUAGGCGGUCGGGUAAGUCUGGCGUGAAAUCUCCAAGCCUAACUUGGAAACUGCGUUGGAUACUAUCCGGCUCGAGGAAUGGAGGGGAGACUGGAAUACUUGGUGUAGCAGUGAAAUGCGUAGAUAUCAAGUGGAACACCAGUGGCGAAGGCGAGUCUCUGGACAUUUCCUGACGCUGAGGCACGAAAGCCAGGGGAGCAAACGGG